ACUUUAGCUCAGUAGGUAGAGCACUUCCUUGGUAAGGAAGAGGUCGACGGUUCGAUUCCGUUAG
rnacentral:tRNA from 1 species